rnacentral:rRNA from 1 species
GAGUUUGAUCUUGGCUCAGGACGAACGCUGGCGGCGUGCCUAACACAUGCAAGUCGAACGAGGUCCAUGGAAGCUUGCUUCUUGAAGACCUAGUGGCGAACGGGUGAGUAACACGUGAGCAACCUGCCCUGGAAUCGGGGAUAACUCGAGGAAACCCGAGCUAAUACCGGAUACCUUCCCUUGGCCGCAUGACCGGGGGAAGAAAGAAUUUCGUUCCAGGAGGGGCUCGCGGCCUAUCAGUUAGUUGGCGGGGUAACGGCCCACCAAGACUACGACGGGUAGCUGGUUUGAGAGAACGAUCAGCCACACUGGGACUGAGACACGGCCCAGACUCCUACGGGAGGCAGCAGUGGGGAAUCUUGCGCAAUGGGCGAAAGCCUGACGCAGCAACGCCGCGUGCGGGAUGACGGCCUCGG